CGGUAAUACGAAGGGACCUAGCGUAGUUCGGAAUUACUGGGCUUAAAGAGUUCGUAGGUGGUUAAAAAAGUUGGUGGUGAAAUCCCAGAGCUUAACUCUGGAACUGCCAUCAAAACUUUUUAGCUAGAGUAUGAUAGAGGAAAGCAGAAUUUCUAGUGUAGAGGUGAAAUUCGUAGAUAUUAGAAAGAAUACCAAUUGCGAAGGCAGCUUUCUGGAUCAUUACUGACGCUGAGGAACGAAAGCAUGGGUAGCGAAGAGGAUUAGAUACCCUCGUAGUCCAUGCCGUAAACGAUGUGUGUUAGACGUUGGAAAUUUAUUUUCAGUGUCGCAGCGAAAGCAUUAAACACACCGCCUGGGGAGUACGACCGCAAGGUUAAAACUCAAAUGAAUUGACGGGGACCCGCACAAGUAGUGGAGCAUGUGGUUUAAUUCGAAGAUACGCGCAGAACCUUACCAACACUUGACAUGUUCGUCGCGACUUUAAGAGAUUAAAGUUUUCGGUUCGGCCGGACGAAACACAGGUGCUGCAUGGCUGUCGUCAGCUCGUGUCGUGAGAUGUUGGGUUAAGUCCCGCAACGAGCGCAACCCUCACUUUUAGUUGCCAUCAUUAAGUUGGGCACUCUGAAAGAACUGCCAGUGAUAAGCUGGAGGAAGGUGGGGAUGACGUCAAGUCCUCAUGGCCCUUACGUGUUGGGCUACACACGUGCUACAAUGGCAUUUACAAUAGGAAGCAAGAUGGCGACGUCAAGCAAAUCCUAAAAAGAUGCCUCAGUUCGGAUUGUACUCUGCAACUCGAGUACAUGAAGCUGGAAUUACUAGUAAUCGCGGAUCAGCGCGCCGCGGUGAAUACGUUCCCGGG
rnacentral:rRNA from 1 species